CAGUCGCCGCGGUAAUACGUAGGGUGCAAGCGUUAAUCGGAAUUACUGGGCGUAAAGCGUGCGCAGGCGGUUAUAUAAGACAGAUGUGAAAUCCCCGGGCUCAACCUGGGACCUGCAUUUGUGACUGUAUAGCUAGAGUACGGUAGAGGGGGAUGGAAUUCCGCGUGUAGCAGUGAAAUGCGUAGAUAUGCGGAGGAACACCGAUGGCGAAGGCAAUCCCCUGGACCUGUACUGACGCUCAUGCACGAAAGCGUGGGGAGCAAACAGGAUUAGAUACCCCUGUAGUCCCUGUCUCUUAUAC
rnacentral:rRNA from 1 species